AACUUGCCUAGCAUGCACAAGGCUGGGGUUGGAUCCCUAGCUCUGGAGGGUCAUGGGAAGGAUACAAUAUAAUCAAAGUUUAUUGUUAGGUAAGUAUAAGGCGUCCGUGAGGGUUAUCAUCUUCAUCUUGGUCAGUAUUCCUGUCAAAGAAUACAGUUCCCUUUUCCCUCAGUCUGGGUGACCUGUCAGAGACCCCACCCUAGAACGAGAGUCCCACAUCUUCCCACCGUGUCUAGUCCCUCAGAUGGUAGUAAAUAUGACGAGUUCGAGUUUCAAAGUUUGUUUCCUUAAUUAUUCCCAAUAUGCUGGACUUGCCUGUCUCUCCUCACACAUCAGGAGAGCUGUGGUGAUCAAGCCCGGGCUCAUCAGAUAUACAGUCAUGUGUUGCUGAUCACAGGGACACCUUCUGGCCAAUGUGUUGUGACCCUGUGAAUGCCACCGAGCUGACUACAGAUGGCAGAGCCAGCUGCACAUCUAGGCUUCAGGAUAGAGGCUGCAGCUCCUAGCCUGCAAUCUGAACAGCUUGUCCUAGACCGCAUACUUUAAGUGAUUGUAACAAUAAUAUUUGUAUAUCCAAACAUGUAAGCCCAGAAAAGUAAAAAAAAAAAAAAAAAAAAGAAAAGAAAAGAAAAGAAAAGAAAAAAUUGUAGAAAAUAGCUUCCACGGUAUACGAAACAGUGAGUAAAAAUAUUGCAGAAAAGAUACAAGAUGGAAGGUAGUUGUGGCAGUUUCUGCCUUCAGUGUCAGCCCUGAGAGGCAGACAGGAAGACCAAGUGUAAGGCCAUGUCGACUGCAUAGUAGUUUGAGGGUCACUUGGCUUUCUCAAAACAAACACAACUACAAAAUGCUGUAACUGUAGAGGACUCUUACCAAGACGAGAGCAUGCGUGUCUGAGAGUUGCCCUGGGGUAAUUAGUGAGUAACAGACAAUGAAUGUGGAGAUCACUGACACACAUUACUGUGCAUUUGUACACACUGCACAAUUGGACUAAAUGUCAUUUAUUUUAAACAAUUUCUUUCUUAAAUAAUAAAUUAACUUCUACAAUAUACUGGCUAUUUUAUAACAUUAAUUUUUUUUUUUUUUACUUUUUACUUUUUUUAUUUUUUCUCCAACUAUGUAACCCAGGCUGCCCUCAGACUCAGUGUGUAUGAAUGACUUUGAGCUUCACCUCCAAAGUGCUAGGUUUACCAGCAUGUGCCACUAUGCCUGCCUUUAAAAAAACAACAUCAACAGCAAAACAAAGCCUUUUUGAACUCUUGCAGUAAGAUCUAGCUUAGAACACAUUGUAUAGAUAUUUUAAAAUAUUCUUUUCUUAUGUGCUUAAUCUGUGAGGUCAUUUUUGUUUGUUGUUUGGUGGUUGUGUUGUGUUGUUUCACUUUGGGAUGUCUCUAUAGGCCAGGCUGGCCUAGUAACUUGCUUUGUAGCUGAAGAUGACCUUGAAUGUUUGGUUCUCCGGCCUCUGCCUCCUGAGUGCUGGGAUGACAGGCGUGCACCAGGUUUACAUAGAACUGGGGAUCAUAGCUAGGGCCUGCUCAUGCUAGAGGACCCAGGUUCAAUUCCCAGGACCCACAUGACUGCUCACAACUGUCUGUAACUCCAGUUCCAGGGGACCUGACAGCCAUGGCAAAGCACCAAAGCACAUAAAACAAAAAACAAAAAAAAACAAACCAAACAACAACAAAAAAACCACUUUAAAAACAUUUUUUUUUUUUUUUUUGCUAUUGUUCAAAGCCAAGUUGCAAACACAUGCAUUAGCUUACACAGGAUCAAACUCAGCCUUAUUUGAACCAGGUGUGGUGGUGUGCUUCUGUAAUACAAGCAUGUGGGAGGCUGAGGAAGGGCGAUUGCUUCAAGCUGUAGGUCAGCUACUUGCUAAGUUCAAGGCCAGCCUAAGAUCCACUGAAUUUUAGCGUGCUUGCCUACCAUACACAAGGCUCUGGCUUCUAUCCAGGCACUAAAAAAAUGUAACUGAUGUGACAUCUUUUGCCUCCACCUUUUAUGCGGUCUUCCUGGAAGACGGUUAGGGGCAGUGACAUGCCUAGAACGGUUGUCUCUUACGAUGACAAUAAUGCAUUCUGAAGGACUGACUUGAGACUCUUUCACAGUUAACUUCAUACUCGUAUCUAAGCAGGGAUACACCCUAAGAUGAAAGCAUACAAUAGAAACUUCACUGUGAUAAAUGCACAAGCCAGUAACAGUCAUUUAUGAUUAUCAGGUGCUGUACGUAAUUGUAUGGCGGUAUAUUUGGCUGCACACUUGACUUGUUUAC
rnacentral:lncRNA from 1 species